rnacentral:rRNA from 1 species
UUCGGUGGUUUUGGCGAGAGGGAAACACCCGGUUCCAUUCCGAACCCGGAAGUUAAGCCUUUCAGCGCCGAUGGUACUGCAUGGGAGACUGUGUGGGAGAGUAGGACACCGCCGGAC